UUUUUUUUUUUUUCAUGCCUUGUUAAGAUUCUGAGAGAGACUGAAAGUAGGAAAAUAAAUUUUAUCUUUAGUCUUUGGUUUACCCACAUGCACAAAACAACUCAAUCUCUCUUUAACUUUUCUAGUCUGUGUGACUUCAAAUAAAUGAUUAAUUCCAAACUGCUUACCUUUCAAUUAUUAUUUUGUUGUAGCUUUAAAUUAGUAUUAAUAGGGAAGGAAAUCCACAGAUAUAAUCUAUAUGGUUUAGAAAAAGAUAAGAGGUUCAAAUUUCUGAUAUUAGGCUCUCCAGAAACAUUGAACCUAAAGGAACAGACUGUGAAAUCCUUUGAUAGUCUAUUUAUACACAGCAGAAAAAGAAGAAAUGGAUCAGUAAAAUGAUGAUUUAGGCACUUACCCAAAACAUUUUAGACCACAAAUUAAAAAUAUAUAUAUAUAUGUUAAAUCUAUGUGUAUAAGAUCUAUUCUUGGAUCUAGCUCUUUACCAAAACUAAGAAUUUAAAUUAUGAAAAUAAAUCAAUUCAUAAACCUCAAUAGAGCAAUAAUAUAAUUGCCCCCAGUUCGGCCAGUAAAUGAUAACUUAAUCAUGUAUUUUCAUUAAUAACUUUAUAUUUGUCUAAUUGAAAAUUCAUGCAGAUUUUUUUGUUUUUACCUAUUUUUAUUACUAAAUUCAACAUGUACCUCUUGAAUUUCAUAUUCAAGACAAAGGAAGCAUUUGCCAAAUUAUUGCACUUCUGAAACUAUAGGAAUUAAGCAUUUGGAAAUAAGAGAGCUGAAGGACAAAGCUCAGGAUCUUUUUUUUUUUUUUGCUUACAUAAAUCCACUAUUCCAAGCUAAGAAGUUGAGGCUAAGAAGCAUUUUAGGUUUGUUUGCUUUUUGAUUCUCCUCUUCAGAGGCUAUACCUUUAAUGUCCUCUUCAUCAAGUGUUGCAAACUUACUUGGUACCUAGAAAAUUUCCUACUUGAGACUUGAUGCCAUGUCAUACAUUUCCUGCAUUCCAUUUGUGGUUUCAUAUAAUGAAUAAGGUCCAGGGUUAGUGCUAGGGCCUUUGGAGGGGAAUAUUGGAAUUGCUCUCUUGAGAUAUAGAAGGCAUACCAGAUGAGUGUUCAUUACAUUUGUUCUUCAACUUAUAACCACAGUCAGUAUGAUUUAGCCAUUUACUUUCCCCCUCCUGCCAUUAAUUCCUUCCCUGUCUAGCUUAAUUUCCAUGGACUGUCAUUCUGCUACCUUUAAAAUAUUUUCCAAAAUCAGAUUGUUAUGAUCAUUAUACAACUACAGAUGUGAUAAAUUCAUUUGAGUAAUAAAAAAAAGUAAAAAAAAAAUAUUUUCCACCCUCUUUCCUUUUUAUCUCUUCACUGCAUUCACCUGGCAAGAAGCCCGUCUUGCCAGGGCCACCAUGUGUGCUUUUGUAGGAUAAUCACGGGUUGUGUUCUUCAGAUGAUGAUGUGUAUGUUUCUCUCUAGCGUAAUUCAAUGAAUAAUUUCACAAUCAUUUGCCAUCUCCAUACCUGGGUCUAACUUAAUAUUCUCUAUACUAUCUUCUUAUUGCUGAAUAUGAGCUAAAACUCACACCACCAUACCAACACCUUCUAAUACAGAUUUACAGUCUCCAGCCAAAACUGAGCUAUCAAUGAGCCACCAAACACUUCUCUUUCCCUCAUCCUCUCCCAUUCUCCACAGAGGCUAUACUCCAUUAUCCUCGAAUAUCUGCUUUAGUACCUAUUACCCUCCCUUUGAUCAGAUAAACGUGAAUUCUUUCUUACUGUGAAAAUAUAAGAUAUUCCAUUAAAAUAUUACCAUGAGUUCUAAAAUAUUAUCAGUACAUUUUUGUCUUCCUCAUUUUUUAGAAUCAAAGCAGCAGGAUCCUGCAUCCUUUGUAAGAGUAAUCUUUUCAUCUUUGAUCUGACUCCAGUUCACUCCCUCAUUCUCAGCAACCUAUCUCAGCCAUCAAUUUAUUCUUCUCUCUUCCUGACCUUCAGUGUCUUGUCUUCUAUACUGGCUCCUUCUCACCAUCAUUUAUAUAUUCUGAAAGGUCUUUCAAUGUUAAAAAAAAAAAAAAAAGAAGAAGAAGCAGUGAGGAAGGAGAGGAAGGUGAGGAAGGGAAGGAGGAAAGGAAGAGAAAGAAAAGAACAAGGGAGAAAGAAAGAAAAGGAAGGGAAAGACGACAAGAAAGGAAGAGAGAGAAAUUCUACCUCAUUUCAUAUGUCUCAUAAUUUUUUACAACUAAGUUUUAUGAAUGGUUUCUCUAUUCUCACUGUCUUAACUAUAUUAUUUCCUACUUAUUCCUAAUGCACUACCCUCAGCUUCAGCUACUUCAAGGAAAUUGCUUAGGUAAAGGCCACCUAGAAAUGCUUUGUUGUGUACCUAAUGGAUAUUUGUCUGUAUUUACCUUAUUUGACUUCUCUGUUGUAUUGAUCAUUCCCUCUCUCUUACAUGCCUUCUUUAGAUUACAUGACAACAUUCUUCUGGUUUUUGUCCUCUAGCUGCUUAAUCACUUUCCUUCAGGGGUAACUCAUUUCCUCUCCAACUCUUAAAUGCUAUUGUUUUCCAAGGUUUAUUCUAACCCCCCUUUUUUUUUCCUGGAUACUCUCAUUUCCAUACUUAAUAUACUGAUGAUGCCCUGACUUUUAACUCCAGCCUACAGAUCUAUUCUCAGUUGUAGAGGCAAAUACACAUCCCUCAAUUGGAUGUAUUCCUAAGAGUGUUCCAUAGAUGCAUAACAUUUAACACGCCCCAAACUAAAUGCCUUCAAGUCUUCCUGUUUUGUUCCCCAUUCAUUGUAACACAAUGGAUGGCAUUUUAAGGAAGCCAGUAAGAAAUCUGGCUUUUUUGACUUCACACUCUUUCUCCACAAUAAUUUACCAAGCAGUCAUUUUUUUCCUGUUUAUUAUCUAUAUAAUCUGCCCCUUCAUUUCCUCUGCUGCCACUGCCUUUAUUUUGUUUCAGCCAGAAUGACCCCCCACGUAGCUUUUUUCCUACAUCUCCUCCCCCACUGUCAGCCAAAGUCAGCAUUCUGUAUCUUCUUUACAAUAAGACCACUCUCAGUUUCUAAGACUUAUCAUGCUGUCUCACAUCCAGGCCUUUGUUCUUGUUCUAGCCUGAAAUACUAUUAACCACCGCCUCCACUUCUUAUUCUAGCUAAUGUCUUAGUCAUCCUGCAUAGUUAACAUUUCUGGGAAGUCUUCCCUGAAUCUCAAACCAUGUUUUAGAGUUUUCCCUUACAAAGUGCCACAGUAUUUAUCUCAUUUAUGGCACUUAACAUAACAAUUUUUAAUUAUCUGUUUAAUUGCUUGAUCUUCUAUUUAUUUUUUCCAGGUUGCAUCUGGGCUUUGAUCUCUGCCUACCUCUCCAGUCCCUUUACUCCCCAUUCUCAGUGCAGUGCUCUGCUCGCCAGACACUCAGCCUUCUUUCUUUUUGGAUCACUCACUAGUCUCCCACCCACACCUAAGCCUGGCUGUUAUCAGGUGGGAAAUGUCCCCUUCCCCAGUUUGCUUAGUAAACUCCUACUUGCCUUUCAUAUAUUGAGAUAAACUUCAUUUCUCCAGGAAAGCUCUAUCUAAUCUGCCAGACUGGCACCAAUCGACCUGUUUUAUUUCCAUAGAAUUUAUCAGAGUUUAAAGUUAUAUGCUUCUGUGAAUUAUUUGAUUAAUGUCUAUAUGCUCCACAAAACUGUAAGCUCCAAGAGAACAGAUCUCUAGUGCCUAGCAUGUAAAUUGAUCAAUUAAAGCAUAACUGAAUAUAUAAUGUGUCUGAAAUACCUUCUGUUAAAUAAGUAAAUAUUCUCAAAGAACAAUGACAUGUAAACCUCCAAUCAAGCACAAAUAACUUUAUACAGAUCAAUUUAUCACCUUGGAAAAAUCUACAUGCUCCUGAAAAAAUAAUGCACAGGACGGAGACAUUUUAGUAAAAGAAGAAAGGGGCAGGUGAGUCCAAGUCAUAGUUAUAAUACUUGGAGAAGGUGCCACUAAGGAGGGCAUCAAAGUGUGUUUUCUCAUUUGUAAAAUGAAAAUCAUUCUAGUACCUAUCUCAUAGGAUAGUUGUGAAGAUUCAGAACUUAACAUAUUCCAUGUAACUAAAAAAGCAAUCAGUCAGUGUUAUGCACUCGAUUUCCUUCAAUGAAUAUUAAUUGUAGUGAGCAUAAGCAACAUAACAGAAUCAGUCAUUCAAGUAAAGUUCCAGAGUAUAAGAAGAUGCUGGCUACGAAACUCAGCACUUGAAUUUGGAUCUCAUUUUGAAUGCUAAAAACAGAUCCUAGAAACCUAGUUCAUCCUGUCAAAAUGCUACCAUGCUUCCAGACAUGCUUAACUUAAAAUAUAUAAAUCAUUUAAAAUAGUAAUAAUGAAUACUUGAUAUUUCUCUUUAUUGCCCCAUUUUCAAAGAUGGUACAGAUAGGAUAAACACACCAUGGAUCACGCUUUUGUAAACUAGGCUUUAACAGCCUUGAGGAAUUUUAUAAUUUUAAUUAAUAGGUUUUAGUUCUUGCACUUUUAAGUAAAUUCCAGCACUUGGAAAUUAUCAUGAGUGUCUGACACCAUAUGGUUAUAUAUGUAUCUGUGUAUAUACUACAUGUGUUUAAGAAUUUUUUUUAUCUUUUUAGGGCCUUACCCACAGCAUAUGGAG
rnacentral:lncRNA from 1 species